GGGAACAACCUCUACGCCAGGUAAGUAUUGGAGCAAAGCUGUAACAAGUUACAUAUUUCGACGUGGCGAUUUCCCCCUUGUAAAGGCGGGUGGCCAAAUAAUUCCCCUCUACCCAAGGGUAGAGCGGUAACUUAAAACCUCAAAAAAAAAAAAAAAAAAAAUUUCUUCAUUGUGGCUAUAAUAAUGAUCCAAUCCCAAUUUGGUGAUCUGAUAGAUAUGGACAUUUCCU
rnacentral:lncRNA from 1 species